UGCUAUAGCCAACAGGAUGCAAGCAGAGUUCCAGACACAAGCUCCUGGGAGCCCUGCAGUCAUGCAGGAAGACUGACCACCCUGCUGGAGAGACCAUGUGGAGAGGGAAAAGCUCUGAGACCACAUGGAAGAGAAGCCAGGCACCUGGCAGCCAGAGAGCUCUAGUGUAGGCACCAAGCAUCCGCUGGACAUCUUUGACUCGGUGGGCUUCAUCGUCAUGGCCAUCACAGCCAAUACCUACAGCUGGAUUCUCUGCUUCUUUACUUAAAAGCAAAUAGACCAGGGCUUCCCUGGUGGCACAGUGGUUAAGAAUCCACCUGUCAAUGCAGGGGACACGGGUUUGAGCCCUGGUCCAGGAAGAUCCCACAUGCCGCGGAGCAGCUAAGCCCGUGCGCCACAACCACUGAGCCUGCGCUCUAGAGCCUGCGAGCCACAACUACUAUGCCUGAGUUCCACAGCUACUGAAGUCCGCAUGCCUAGAGCCUGUGCUCUGCAACAAGAGAAGCCACCUCAAUGAGAAGCCCGCGCACCGCAGUGAAGAGUAGGCCCUGCUCACCACAGCUAGAGAAAGCCCGCGUGCAACAACGGAGACC